rnacentral:rRNA from 1 species
AUUGAACGCUGGCGGCAAGCCUAACACAUGCAAGUCGAACGAGUGGCGGACGGGUGAGUAAUGUCUGGGAAACUGCCUGAUGGAGGGGGAUAACUACUGGAAACGGUAGCUAAUACCGCAUACCAUCGGAUGUGCCCAGAUGGGAUUAGCUAGUAGGUGGGGUAAAGGCUCACCUAGGCGACGAUCCCUAGCUGGUCUGAGAGGAUAACCGGCCACACGGGAACUGAGACACGGUCCAGACUCAUACGGUAGGCAGCGGUGGGGAAUAUUGCACAAUGGGCGAAAGCCUGAUGCAGCGAUGCCGCGUGUAUGAAGAAGGGUUUCGGGUUGUAAAGGAGUUUCAGCGGGGAGGCGUUACCCGCAGAAGAAGCACCGGCUAACUCCGUGCCAGCAGCCGCGGUAAUAC